AGCAGGAACCAAUUAUCUUCUCAACAACCAUAAAAGAAAACAUUAUAUAUGCUAGACACAACGCUAGCGAAGCUGAGAUGAAAGAGGCUGCAAGAAUAGCAAAUGCUCACCAUUUCAUCAGCAGCCUGCCUCAUGGUUAUGACACACAUGUGGGAAUGAGGGGUGUAGACCUGACACCAGGACAGAAGCAGAGAAUUGCAAUUGCUCGAGUGGUGCUGAAGAAUGCACCCAUCUUGUUAUUGGAUGAAGCUAGCUCGUCCAUUGAAUCUGAAUCUAGUAGAGUGGUGCAAGAGGCACUAGAUACACUAAUUAUGGGAAACAAAACAACCAUUCUCAUAGCUCAUAGAGCUGCAAUGAUGAGGCAUGUCGACAAUAUUGUUGUUCUAAAUGGAGGGCGAAUUGUUGAGGAAGGGACCCAUGAUUCUUUGAUGGUGAAGAACGGCUUGUAUGUCAGGCUGAUGCAACCCCCCUUUGGAAAGGGUUUUCGACAG
rnacentral:misc_RNA from 1 species